CCUACGGGGGGCUGCAGUGAGGAAUAUUGGUCAAUGGACGAGAGUCUGAACCAGCCAAGUAGCGUGAAGGAUGACUGCCCUAUGGGUUGUAAACUUCUUUUAUAUGGGAAUAAAAUGUUCCACGUGUGGGAUUUUGUAUGUACCAUAUGAAUAAGGAUCGGCUAACUCCGUGCCAGCAGCCGCGGUAAUACGGAGGAUCCGAGCGUUAUCCGGAUUUAUUGGGUUUAAAGGGAGCGUAGGUGGAUUGUUAAGUCAGUUGUGAAAGUUUUCGGCUCAACCGUAAAAUUGCAGUUGAAACUGGCAGUCUUGAGUACAGUAGAGGUGGGCGGAAUUCGUGGUGUAGCGGUGAAAUGCUUAGAUAUCACGAAGAACUCCGAUUGCGAAGGCAGUUCACUGGACUGCAACUGACACUGAGGCUCGAAAGUGUGGGUAUCAAACAGGAUUAGAUACCCGUGUAGUC
rnacentral:rRNA from 1 species